UCCAGUCCAGGUAAGACUGUGGACUCCACUCCACAUUCCUGAUCCGACAAGUCAAUCCAGGAACUAAACCCUGAGCCCAGCCACACCGAGACAGGUUGGAGGGCCGGGAGACAGAAGGAAACUUGUAAAGUCGGAGUGGGUGAAAGACGCCUGGGCAAUGAAAGAUCGCCUGGAGCAGCUGAAAGCGACGUGUGACACUGAUGACACAGAUGAUAUCGAGAUCUCGGUUGAUAACAAUGCCUUCAUGGACGAGUUCUUUGGGCAGAUCGACGAGAUCCGGACCAACAUCGAGAAGAUCACCGUCAAUGUGGAUGAAGUGAAGAAAAUCCACAGCAUUAUCCUGUCAGCACCCAUGACAGAACAGAG